rnacentral:piRNA from 1 species
UAAUCACUAAGGCCUGUGUUUUUAUGUGGC